rnacentral:lncRNA from 1 species
UUUUUAUCAAGUAAAAGCCAACAAAAUGCAUGGGCUUCAAAUCUCUAGCCCAAAUUACUAACCCAGGAGAUAAACAAAACAAAACCCAAUCCAAACAAACAAAUCACCAUCAAGACCCAAUCAAAAUAAACCUAAUCCAAUUCCCAACUAAUUUUUGUUAAACCCAUCAGAAUAAUAAGAUAACUAAAAAAACAUACCUAAUCAUAUCAUAAUCUCAGAAUUAAUCUACCCAACAACUCACUGAAAAUACAAAAGGCAAACUGAAACUUAGAAGGGCCAAAACAACUUGAUAUUUUUUAGUUUUUGGGCCACAAUGCAAUUAGAUAGAAAUUGAGGGGUUAAAUUGCAAAUCUUUUGGAGAACCCAAGCAAGCUUUCGAAGAGCAGGUUUCUUCCUCAUUUAGACAAAAACUUCUGCAACUCGCAAUUCACAAACCCAACUCACAAACACAAUCAAAUCUAGUUUGAAAUUGAGCAAACAAAGCUACUUCCUAAACCUUUACUUUGCAACAUGCAACCUCUAAAUUUAAACCCAAAAAAAAUCAGACAAAAGGGCAUGUGAACAUCAAAACAACAUUCUGCAAUUUUCCAGCUACAAGCCGAAAAUGGUGAUCAUGCAAAGUAAUGAAAAUGAGUAUGUAGUGAUCUGUCCACCCAAACUCAUGUGAAUUCCAAAUCCUCAACUUUAUCAUAAUUCAAGCAUGGCUGUCUAUCAUUAUUAAUCCCAACAGAGAGUAUCCCGAUAAGAAAACAAGAAGAACAGAAGAUGCAAAACACCGAUUCAUCAGAAUUUUCUCAAACGCAAAAAUUGAACUUGCUCACUUAUCCAGUUCCUUCACACGCGAAAAUGCAGACCAGUUAUCUUUUAAUUAGAACACUCAGUUGGGCAUUUCAUCUAACAGGUUGUAGGCAUCAAAAUCUUACCAGAUUUCUGCUCAAAUUGAAGCAUAACUAACCCAGAAAUUUGUCAAAAACCAAGGAAAUUCAGUCCAAUCAAACACGCAAGGCACACUAAUUCUAAAAUCAAUGAACGAUCAACACGAAAAAUGGAAAUUACGAAAUCACAGAAAACUCAUUUUUUUGCAACAUGGUAAAAGAUUUGUGAAAUCUGCCUUAGGCCACUUUGCAAACCAACUCUUCAUAGCCUAUAGUAAUUUUAUACCAGCUAUCCUGAUCACACGGCAAGAAAAUCAAGUAUUUGGAGCAAUUAUGAAUUUUAACCCAAGAUGACUAACAAAUCAUGCGGCAGUUUCCUUUCUACCAUUUCAGCAUGCAUGUGAUAGAAUUUAUAAACCUCAAUAGAGCAUGUAAAUACAUCAACUAAUGCCCCACGGCUCAAACCGAAUUACUUAGGACCAAACACACAAAAUCAUAAUACCAAAACCAGAGUUCCAGUAGCUGCCUUUCAAAUCCACAGCCGAAACAAUUUACUCGUCUAAAAUCAGAAGCAAACAUUGACUAAAGUACCAAAUCGAUGAACCAAGCCUCUAAAAGAGAUCAUAUAUGACAGAGGCGACAUGAGGCAAUCUUAUUGACAUCAGAAAACAAUACUUCAGCAAGCCCAAAGGGAAAACAAAAGAAUUGUCGCAACAAGCCCAACUCACUGACUUAUCUGAUUUCUUCAUACGUAAAAAAAAAUGCCACAAAACCAUUUUUAACAAGAAUUUUCGGCUAGACAUUUCAUCGAGCAGAUUAAGGGCAUUAAAAAGUUCAACAAAUUUUCGCUCAAUUGGGGUUGUAAUCAGCCCCAAAAUUGUCAGCAAACCAAGGAAAUUCAAUUCAAUCAAUAUAUAAGACAGGCAUGUCCAAAAAUUGCGGAUAAUCGCUGGAAAAUUGUGGUAAACAAAUCUGCUUUGAGUUUUAAGAGUCUGAGCAUGAAAUUUGAAGGAAAGGGAUAGCUUACCUUAUCCUCUCGGUGACAGUUCGUCGGUGAUGGCAGUAGAUUCCGGCAAGCUCCAACCUUUUCCAGCCGCUCCUUUGCUCUUCUCCCUCUAGCUUUCGUUUUGCUCGUCGCCUAGCCUGCCGCCUGGUUCCUCUCCGUUUCCAUUUUACUUGGCCGUAGCUCUCUUACGCUUUCCCCAGUUUUCCCUGCUCCUUUCCUCCUCCGUUUUUGCAUUCAGCCGAAACCUUUUCCACUUUUCUUCUGAUUUCCUCAGUUUUCCCUUCUUUUCUGAUUUCUUUUCAGUUCCCAGCCUCCGUAGCUCUCCCUGUUUUUUUAGUUUUCUGUUCAAACCCUGCCCCCGUAGCUCUCUCUAUUUUCAGCCUU